GGGGGUAUAGCUCAGUUGGUAGAGCGUUGCUUUUGCAAGGCAAAUGCCAGUGGUUCGAAUCCGCUUACCUCCA
rnacentral:tRNA from 1 species